GGCUCGUGUUAGGUAGUCGCGCGAAACUUUCCAGUUAACUGGAAAGUGGAGUGAGGAAAGUCCGAACACGCACUCAACUUGUUUGAGUAGCAGGGUAGCGGGUAACGCCCGUCGAGAGCAAUCUUAGGGAUGCGAGCAGUGACGCCCAAACAGAGAUGUGAGGGCACCCCUCGGGGUGAAUCUCUACGGAGACGUAGAGGGUGAAACGGCAAAAUUCCUACCUGCGUGCAAGGCCGUACUUAACUUCUUUGAAGUUCUGGGUGCCGCAAAGAUGUUACUGGCAACAGUAACGCAAGAUAAAUGACUACACACCAAGCCUGGGCACAGGUUUGGGGACAGAAUUCGGCUUAUAGACACGAGCUGCAC
rnacentral:RNase_P_RNA from 1 species